rnacentral:rRNA from 1 species
AGUGAACGCUGGCGGUAGGCCUAACACAUGCAAGUCGAACGGCAGCACAGUAAGAUCUUGCUCUUACGGGUGGCGAGUGGCGGACGGGUGACGAAUACAUCGGAUUCUACUUUUUCGUGGGGGACAACGUAGGGCAACUUACGCUACUACCGCAUACGACCUACGGGUUAAAGCAGUGGAUCUUCGGACCUUUCGCGUUUGAUUGAGCCGAUGUCGGAUUAGCUAGUUGGCGGGGUAAAGGCCCACCAAGGCGACGAUCCGUAGCUGGUCUGAGAGGAUGAUCAGCCACACUGGAACUGAGACACGGUCCAGACUCCUACGGGAGGCAGCAGUGGGGAAUAUUGGACAAUGGGCGAAAGCCUGAUCCAGCCAUACCGCGUGAGUGAAGAAGGCCUUCGGGUUGUAAAGCCCUGUUGUUGGGAAAGAAAAGCAGCAGGUUAAUACCCCGCUGUUCUGACGGUACCCAAAGAAUAAGCACCGGCUAACUUCGUG